rnacentral:rRNA from 1 species
GUGCUUAACACAUGCAAGUCGAACGGAAAGGCCCUGCUUUUGUGGGGUGCUCGAGUGGCGAACGGGUGAGUAACACGUGAGUAACCUGCCCUUGACUUUGUGAUAACUUCAGGAAACUGGGGCUAAUACCGGAUAGGAGCUCCUGCUGCAUGGUGGGGGUUGGAAAGUUUCGGCGGUUGGGGAUGGACUCGCGGCUUAUCAGCUUGUUGGUGGGGUAGUGGCUUACCAAGGCUUUGACGGGUAGCCGGCCUGAGAGGGUGACCGGCCACAUUGGGACUGAGAUACGGCCCAGACUCCUACGGGAGGCAGCAGUGGGGAAUAUUGCACAAUGGGCGGAAGCCUGAUGCAGCAACGCCGCGUGCGGGAUGACGGCCUUCGGGUUGUAAACCGCUUUCGCCUGUGACGAAGCGUGAGUGACGGUAAUGGGUAAAGAAGCACCGGCUAACUACGUGCCAGCAGCCGCGGUGAUACGUAGGGUGCGAGCGUUGUCCGGAUUUAUUGGGCGUAAAGGGCUCGUAGGUGGUUGAUCGCGUCGGAAGUGUAAUCUUGGGGCUUAACCCUGAGCGUGCUUUCGAUACGGGUUGACUUGAGGAAGGUAGGGGAGAAUGGAAUUCCUGGUGGAGCGGUGGAAUGCGCAGAUAUCAGGAGGAACACCAGUGGCGAAGGCGGUUCUCUGGGCCUUUCCCUGACGCUGAGGAGCGAAAGCGUGGGGAGCGAACAGGCUUAGAUACCCUGGUAGUCCACGCUGUAAACGGUGGGUACUAGGUGUGGGGUCCAUUCCACGGGUUCCGUGCCGUAGCUAACGCUUUAAGUACCCCGCCUGGGGAGUACGGCCGCAAGGCUAAAACUCAAAGGAAUUGACGGGGCCCCGCACAAGCGGCGGAGCAUGCGGAUUAAUUCGAUGCAACGCGUAGAACCUUACCUGGGUUUGACAUGGAUCGGGAGUGCUCAGAGAUGGGUGUGCCUCUUUUGGGGUCGGUUCACAGGUGGUGCAUGGCUGUCGUCAGCUCGUGUCGUGAGAUGUUGGGUUAAGUCCCGCAACGAGCGCAACCCUUGUUCACUGUUGCCAGCACGUUAUGGUGGGGACUCAGUGGAGACCGCCGGGGUCAACUCGGAGGAAGGUGGGGAUGACGUCAAGUCAUCAUGCCCCUUAUGUCCAGGGCUUCACGCAUGCUACAAUGGCUGGUACAGAGAGUGGCGAGCCUGUGAGGGUGAGCGAAUCUCGGAAAGCCGGUCUCAGUUCGGAUUGGGGUCUGCAACUCGACCUCAUGAAGUCGGAGUCGCUAGUAAUCGCAGAUCAGCAACGCUGCGGUGAAUACGUUCCCGGGGCUUGUACACACCGCCCGUCAAGUCAUGAAAGUUGGUAACACCCGAAACCGGUGGCCUAACCGUUGUGGGGGAGCCGUCGAAGGUGGGACUGGUGAUUAGGACUAAAU